rnacentral:rRNA from 1 species
UACAGAGGGUGCAAACGUUGUUCGGAAUUACUGGGCGUAAAGCGCGUGUAGGCUGCUUCGCAAGUCGGAUGUGAAAGCCCUGGGCUCAACCCAGGAAGUGCAUUCGAAACUGCAGAGCUGGAGUCCUGGAGAGGAAGGCGGAAUUCUCGGUGUAGAGGUGAAAUUCGUAGAUAUCGAGAAGAACACCGGUGGCGAAGGCGGCCUUCUGGACAGUGACUGACGCUGAGACGCGAAAGCGUGGGGAGCAAACAGG